UACGGAGGAUGCGAGCGUUAUCCGGAUUUAUUGGGUUUAAAGGGUGCGCAGGCGGUCUGUUAAGUCAGCGGUCAAAGCCCGGGGCUCAACCCCGGCCCGCCGUUGAAACUGGCAGUCUCGAGUUGGAGAGAAGUAUGCGGAAUGCGCGGUGUAGCGGUGAAAUGCAUAGAUAUCGCGCAGAACUCCGAUUGCGAAGGCAGCAUGCCGGCUCCAUACUGACGCUGAGGCACGAAAGCGUGGGUAUCGAACAGG
rnacentral:rRNA from 1 species